UACGUAGGGUGCGAGCGUUGUCCGGAAUUAUUGGGCGUAAAGAGCUCGUAGGCGGUGUGUCACGUCGGCCGUGAAAACCCGGGGCUCAACUCCGGGCCUGCAGCCGAUACGGGCAGACUAGAGUUCGGCAGGGGAGACUGGAAUUCCUGGUGUAGCGGUGAAAUGCGCAGAUAUCAGGAGGAACACCGGUGGCGAAGGGCGGGUCUCUGG
rnacentral:rRNA from 1 species